UACAGAGGUCCCAAGCGUUGUUCGGAUUUACUGGGCGUAAAGGGUGCGUAGGCGGUUGGAUAAGUCUGGUGUGAAAGCUCGGAGCCUAACUCCGAAACGGCAUUGGAUACUGUUCAGCUUGAGGUUGGGAGGGGGGACUGGAAUUCUCGGUGUAGCAGUGAAAUGCGUAGAUAUCGAGAGGAACACCAGUGGCGAAGGCGAGUCCCUGGACCAAUCCUGACGCUGAGGCACGAAAGCCAGGGGAGCAAACGGG
rnacentral:rRNA from 1 species